UGGGGAAUAUUGCACAAUGGGCGCAAGCCUGAUGCAGCGACGCCGCGUGAGGGAUGACGGCCUUCGGGUUGUAAACCUCUUUUGUUAGGGAGCAAGCGAGAGUGAGUGUACCUUUCGAAUAAGCACCGGCUAACUACGUGCCAGCAGCCGCGGUAAUACGUAGGGUGCAAGCGUUAUCCGGAAUUAUUGGGCGUAAAGAGCUCGUAGGCGGCUUGUCGCGUCCGGUGUGAAAGUCCAUCGCUUAACGGUGGAUCUGCGCCGGGUACGGGCAGGCUAGAAUGCGGUAGGGGAGACUGGAAUUCCCGGUGUAACGGUGGAAUGUGUAGAUAUCGGGAAGAACACCAAUGGCGAAGGCAGGUCUCUGGGCCGUUAUUGACGCUGAGGAGCGAAAGCGUGGGGAGCGAACAGGAUUAGAUACCCUGGUAGUCCACGCCGUAAACGGUGGACGCUGGAUGUGGGGCCCG
rnacentral:rRNA from 1 species